CUAAAUAUAGGAAAAAAUAAUCCGUCGAAUUGUGGUUUCGAAAAUCUUUGUGUUUGGG
rnacentral:tRNA from 1 species